rnacentral:rRNA from 1 species
GAUGAACGCUGGCGGCGUGCCUAAUACAUGCAAGUCGAGCGAACAGACGAGGAGCUUGCUCCUCUGACGUUAGCGGCGGACGGGUGAGUAACACGUGGAUAACCUACCUAUAAGACUGGGAUAACUUCGGGAAACCGGAGCUAAUACCGGAUAAUAUAUUGAACCGCAUGGUUCAAUGGUGAAAGACGGUUUUGCUGUCACUUAUAGAUGGAUCCGCGCCGCAUUAGCUAGUUGGUAAGGUAACGGCUUACCAAGGCAACGAUGCGUAGCCGACCUGAGAGAGGGAUGGACCAAGGUAGUGCUGAGACACGGGCAAGACAGGAGCGAGAGGCGGCGGAGGGGGAUGUUGCAGAAUGGUCGAAAGCUUGACAGAUUAACGAAGCGGGAGAGAAGAAGGAAGUAAGUACGUAAACCUGUCUUAAUAGUAAGGAACAAAGGGGUGAGGAACAAUGCGAGACUGGAAAGGACAUAAACAGAAAGCAAGGGCUAACUACAAG